rnacentral:rRNA from 1 species
GACGAACGCUGGCGGCGUGCCUAAUACAUGCAAGUUGAGCGAUGAAGAUUGGUGCUUGCACCAAUUUGAAGAGCAGCGAGCGGGUGAGUAACGCGUGGGGAAUCUGCCUUUGAGCGGGGGACAACAUUUGGAAACGAAUGCUAAUACCGCAUAACAACUUUAAACAUAAGUUUUAAGUUUGAAAGAUGCAAUUGCAUCACUCAAAGAUGAUCCCGCGUUGUAUUAGCUAGUUGGUGAGGUAAAGGCUCACCAAGGCGAUGAUACAUAGCCGACCUGAGAGGGUGAUCGGCCACAUUGGGACUGAGACACGGCCCAAACUCCUACGGGAGGCAGCAGUAGGGAAUCUUCGGCAAUAGACGAAAGUCUGACCGAGCAACGCCGCGUGAGUGAAGAAGGUUUUCGGAUCGUAAAACUCUGUUGGUAGAGAAGAACGUUGGUGAGAGUGGAAAGCUCAUCAAGUGACGGUAACUACCCAGAAAGGGACGGCUAACUACGUG